UGGGGAAUUGUUCGCAAUGGGCGCAAGCCUGACGACGCAACGCCGCGUGGAGGACGAAGACCUUCGGGUCGUAAACCCCUGUCGAAUGGGACGAAAGACUCGCGAGUGAAUACUUCGCGAGAGUGACGGUACCGUUAAAGGAAGCCACGGCUAACUCUGUGCCAGCAGCCGCGGUAAUACAGAGGUGGCAAGCGUUGUUCGGAAUUACUGGGCGUAAAGGGCGCGUAGGCGGCCCUCUAAGUCAGACGUGAAAUCCCCCGGCUUAACCUGGGAACUGCGUCUGAUACUGGAGGGCUUGAGUAUGGGAGAGGGAUGUAGAAUUCCAGGUGUAGCGGUGAAAUGCGUAGAUAUCUGGAGGAAUACCGGUGGCGAAGGCGGCAUCCUGGACCAUUACUGACGCUGAGGCGCGAAAGCUAGGGGAGCAAACGGGAUUAGAUACCCCCGUAGUCCCUGAGCGGGCUGGCAAGGCGCAU
rnacentral:rRNA from 1 species